rnacentral:lncRNA from 1 species
GUUAUUAAGUGAUGAGGGUUUCUUGUUGUUGUUUAAAAGAUUAAAUCUCACUCUGUCACCCAACUUGGAGUGUGCAGUGAGCUCGGAUCACACCACUGCACUCCAGCCUGGGUGACAGAGCGAGACCGUGUAUGAUAAAACAAAAACAGAAAACAUCCAGAGGUUUGUAUAGAAGUAGUUAUCUUGCAGGUGUUCAGAAGGACCUGACUGCCAAAAUAAGGCAGGCCCUCAUUAUUUCAGGUGCAGUCAUUUAAGUUUCUUAUUGGCUAUGGUUUUUUGAAGAAAUAAUUUUUAUAGAUUUAUAGGAUGGUGUUCACAAAGACUACUGUAUUUGAAUUUUUCUAUAUAUUUUCAAUUCUCAUACAUCCGUAUUAGAAAUUAUGUAUUGUAUUUAUGGUCAGAUUUAUUGGAGACUGCUGCAAAAAACAAAUUACUGGUAUGGUACACUCAACCAAUCUCAAAACGAAUCCAAGGGCACCAGAAUAUAAGUUGCACAAAGGCAGAAAUCUUUGUCUUUUUUUUUUUUCUCAUGUGUGCUAAACACCUGGAAGGGUACCUGCAUUUAAUGGGUGCACCAUAAAUAAUGAAUGAAGGCAGGCAGGUAGGCAGACAGGUGGUACAAUCAGGAUCCCCUUAAUAUGAAUUGGGGGUAGUUUAUGUAAAAUUUUUCCUUUUUACCUACUUUCUGAUCAUUAUAUGAAGUAGAUUGGGAUCAGACUUACCAAUAUUAGCUGUGGCCGGGCGCAGUGGCUCAUGCCUGUAAUCCCAGCACUUUGGGAGGCCAAUGCAGGUGGAUCACCAGAGGUCAGGAGUUUGAGACCAGCCUGGCCAACAUGGUGAAACCCCGUCUCUACUAAAAAUACAAAAAUUAGCUAGGCAUGGUGGUGUGUGCCUGUUGCCCCAGCUGCUUGGGAGGCUCUGAGGCAGGAGAAUUGCUUAAACCCGGGAGGCGGAGGUUGCAGUGAGUUGAGCUCGUGCCACUGCACUCAAGCCUGGGUGACAAGAGUGAGACGCUGACUC